rnacentral:rRNA from 1 species
UACGUAGGGGGGCAAGCGUUGUCCGGAAUCAUUGGGCGUAAAGAGCGUGUAGGCGGUCCGGUAAGUCGGUUGUGAAAGUCCAGGGCUCAACCCUGGGAUGCCGACCGAUACUGUCGGACUAGAGUUCGGAAGAGGCGAGUGGAAUUCCCGGUGUAGCGGUGAAAUGCGCAGAUAUCGGGAGGAACACCGAUGGCGAAGGCAGCUCGCUGGGACGGUACUGACGCUGAGACGCGAAAGCGUGGGGAGCAAACAGG